rnacentral:rRNA from 1 species
UACGGGGGGGGCAAGCGUUGCUCGGAAUCACUGGGCGUAAAGGGCGCGUAGGCGGCCAUUCAAGUCGGGGUGAAAGCCUGUGGCUCAACCACAGAAUUGCCUUCGAUACUGUUUGGCUUGAGACCGGAAGAGGUAAGUGGAACUGCGAGUGUAGAGGUGAAAUUCGUAGAUAUUCGCAAGAACACCAGUGGCGAAGGCGGCCCUCUGGCUCGACCCUGACGCUGAGGCGCGAAAGCGUGGGGAGCGAACGGG